UGUUUGGAAACAAUCCUUGGCUGAAGCACAACAUCAGCACAAAGUGAAUUUGGUGACCGUGAAAUAAUUAAAAGUAAAAUAAUGUAGGCUAAGGCAUUUUACUUAGAGAAGUAAAAUAAUUCCCAAGAUUACUGCACUUAACUUUAUUUUCUUAUACUCAGUGUAGACAGUUCCAACUGUGUUGAUUUGCUGCCAACAGUGUUUGUGCCACUUCAGCAUUUGGAAGCCUUGCUGUUAAAUAAUCAAUAUUUAUUAUUAAAAAUGGAGAAACAUUUACUAAACUUUCCUUGGAGAUUUUCCUGACAUGCCUUUGACAUCCCUUUGUUAAUGAAAACUCUCUGGACUCUUUUCAAAAUUUUUUCAAUGUAUUUGCAGAAAGGAAGAGGACAGGAGAAGAGGCAUUUCUAGUUCCAAACUUCUCAAAAUUGACCAGAUAGAAUAAAUUGUGCAGAGCAAGUAAAAAUGUUGAAUUUAGCGUAAGAUAUUACUUCUCUUAAUAUUCUUUAACUUUCUUUUUUUUUGUGGUCAAAGGAACUGAGGACUGCUCCAAUGCCAAUGGAAGUUCAUGGGAAAAAUCCCAUUUCCUGUUUUUAACAACUGGAAGUUGCACAACAGAGGAGUUUUUAAGGGAUUGUGUAUCUACUAGAAAUCCAAAGGCUUUAGGAACUUUACUAAGAUAUGAAAUCUAAAUAAUUUUACUGACUCUCCAGUGAUCAAGAUAACAUGUAAGUCAAUCUUGCAGAACUAUCAUGAACUCUUCCAGCUAAGGCAUGAAUUUUGCUGAUUUAUAGUGUCCUGUGGCAGCUGAUGGAUUUUGAAGAAGAAAAUCCAUUAGGACAUUUUAGUUAGCUCUUGAAAGGAAAUCAGCUAUGCAGCUCAGCUGUGGGGGCAGAGUAUUGUCUUAUUGUCUUGCAAUAUAAGAUGUGACCAGAUGUGUUCUAUUCCCAUCUGUUAAAACCAGCUGGGGCAGUGUUCUUUAUCUCUUCCACAGCCCAUCCUCCCUC
rnacentral:lncRNA from 1 species